UACGGAGGGUGCAAGCGUUAAUCGGAAUGACUGGGCGUAAAGGGCAUGCAGGCGGUCUGUCAAGUCGGAUGUGAAAUCCCCGGGCUUAACCCGGGAACGGCAUUCGAAACUGGCAGGCUGGAGUCUCGUAGAGGGGGGUAGAAUUCCAGGUGUAGCGGUGAAAUGCGUAGAGAUCUGGAGGAAUACCGGUGGCGAAGGCGGCCCCCUGGACGAAGACUGACGCUCAGGUGCGAAAGCGUGGGGAGCAAACAGG
rnacentral:rRNA from 1 species